rnacentral:tRNA from 1 species
GUUGGUAUGUCCGAGUGGUUAAGGAGACAAAUUUGAAAUCUGUUGGGCUUUGCCCGCGCAUGUUCAAGUCCUGCUGCCGACG